AUUGAACGCUGGCGGCAUGCCUAACACAUGCAAGUCGAACGGAGGUAGGGGCAACUCUACUUCAGUGGCGGACGGGUGAGGAAUGCGUCGGAAUCUACCCUAUGGUGGGGGAUAACGCAGGGAAACUUGUGCUAAUACCGCAUAAUGUCGAGAGACCAAAAGCAGGGGACCGCAAGGCCUUGCGCGAUAGGAUGAGUCGACGCCCGAUUAGCUAGUUGGUAGGGUAAAGGCCUACCAAGGCGACGAUCGGUAGCUGGUCUGAGAGGAUGAUCAGCCACACUGGGACUGAGACACGGCCCAGACUCCUACGGGAGGCAGCAGUGGGGAAUAUUGGACAAUGGGCGCAGGCCUGAUCCAGCAAUGCCGCGUGUGUGAAGAAGGCCUGCGGGUUGUAAAGCACUUUUGUUCGGGAAGAAAUCAUGCUGGUUAAUACCUGGUAUGGAUGACGGUACCGAAAGAAUAAGCACCGGCUAACUUCGUGCCAGCAGCC
rnacentral:rRNA from 1 species